rnacentral:rRNA from 1 species
AUUAGAGUUUGAUCCUGGCUCAGAUUGAACGCUGGCGGCAGGCUUAACACAUGCAAGUCGAGCGGUAGCAGGUCCUUCGGGAUGCUGACGAGCGGCGGACGGGUGAGUAACGCGUAGGAAUCUGCCCAGUAGAGGGGGGUAGCCCGAGGAAACUCGGAUUAAUACCGCAUACGCCCUACGGGGGAAAGCGGGGGAUCUUCGGACCUCGUGCUAUUGGAUGAGCCUGCGUAAGAUUAGCUAGUUGGUGGGGUAAAGGCCUACCAAGGCGACGAUCUAUAGCUGGUCUGAGAGGAUGAUCAGCCACACUGUGACUGAGACACGGCCCAGACUCCUACGGGAGGCAGCAGCGGGGAAUAUUGCACAAUGGGCGCAAGCCUGAUGCAGCCAUGCCGCGUGUGUGAAGAAGGCCUUCGGGUUGUAAAGCACUUUAAGCAGUGAGGAAAGGUUGAUGGUUAAUAGCCAUCAGCUGUGACGUUACCCGCAGAAGAAGCACCGGCUAAUUCAGUGCCAGCAGCCGCGGUAAUACUGAAGGUGCAAGCGUUAAUCGGAAUUACUGGGCGUAAAGCGCGCGUAGGCGGCUAGGUAAGUUGGAUGUGAAAGCCCCGGGCUUAACCUGGGAACUGCAUUCAAAACUGCUUGGCUAGAGUACGAUAGAGGGGGGUAGAAUUUCAGGUGUAGCGGUGAAAUGCGUAGAGAUCUGAAGGAAUACCAGUGGCGAAGGCGGCCCCCUGGAUUGAUACUGACACUGAGGUGCGAAAGCGUGGGUAGCAAACAGGAUUAGAUACCCUGGUAGUCCAUGCCGUAAACGAUGUCAACUAGCCGUUGGAAGACUUGAUCUUUUAGUGGCGCAGCUAACGCAAUAAGUUGACCGCCUGGGGAGUACGGCCGCAAGGUUAAAACUCAAAUGAAUUGACGGGGGCCCGCACAAGCGGUGGAGCAUGUGGUUUAAUUCGAAGCAACGCGAAGAACCUUACCCGCUCUUGACAUCCACAGAACGCUCCAGAGAUGGAGCGGUGCCUUCGGGAACUGUGAGACAGGUGCUGCAUGGCUGUCGUCAGCUCGUGUUGUGAAAUGUUGGGUUAAGUCCCGUAACGAGCGCAACCCUUGUCCUUAUUUGCCAGCGAGUUAUGUCGGGAACUUUAAGGAGACUGCCGGUGACAAACCGGAGGAAGGUGGGGACGACGUCAAGUCAUCAUGGCCCUUACGAGCGGGGCUACACACGUGCUACAAUGGCCAGGACAAACGGUUGCGACCCCGCGAGGGCAAGCUAAUCUGAGAAACCUGGUCGUAGUCCGGAUCGCAGUCUGCAACUCGACUGCGUGAAGUCGGAAUCGCUAGUAAUCGUGAAUCAGAAUGUCACGGUGAAUACGUUCCCGGGCCUUGUACACACCGCCCGUCACACCAUGGGAGUGGAUUGCACCAGAAGUAGCUAGCUUAACCUUCGGGAGGGCGGUUACCACGGUGUGGUUCAUGACUGGGGUGAAGUCGUAACAAGGUAACCAAU